GAUGAACGCUAGCUACAGGCUUAACACAUGCAAGUCGAGGGGCAGCAGGGAUUUAGCUUGCUAAAUUCGCUGGCGACCGGCGCACGGGUGCGUAACGCGUAUCCAACCUUCCCGUUACUCUUGGAUAGCCUUCCGAAAGGGAGAUUAAUACCUGAUGGUGUUGAAAUUCCGCAUGUUAUUCAACUAAAGAUUUAUCGGUAACGGAUGGGGAUGCGUGACAUUAGGUAGAUGGCGGGUAACGGCCCACCAUGCCCACGAUGUCUAGGGGUUCUGAGAGGAAGGUCCCCCACACUGGAACUGAGACACGGUCCAGACUCCUACGGGAGGCAGCAGUGAGGAAUAUUGGUCAAUGGCCGGAAGGCUGAACCAGCCAAGUAGCGUGAAGGAUGAAGGUUCUAUGGAUUGUAAACUUCUUUUAUACGGGAAUAAAACCACCUACGUGUAGGUGCUUGUAUGUACCGUAUGAAUAAGCAUCGGCUAACUCCGUG
rnacentral:rRNA from 1 species